rnacentral:rRNA from 1 species
UUAAGUAGAAAAGAGCGCACGGAGGAUGCCUUGGCACUAGGAGCCGAAGAAGGACGUGACAAACGACGAAACGCUACGGGGAGCUGUAAGUAAGCAAAGAUCCGUAGAUAUCCGAAUGGGGGAACCCACCGCUUUUAAAAGGGCGGUACGCGAAAGCGAGGUAACGCAGGGAACUGAAACAUCUAAGUACCUGUAGGAAGAGAAAGAAAAAUCGAUUUCCUAAGUAGCGGCGAGCGAAAGGGAAAGAGCCCAAACCAAUAUGCUUGCAUAUUGGGGUUGUAGGACUCUCAAAAAAGCGUAUGACAAAGUAUAGUAGAACGAGCUGGAAAGUUAGACCGUAGAAGGUAAAAGUCCUGUAUACGAAAUGCUGAGUUGGCGUGAGAGAGCACCUGAGUACGGCGGAACACGAGGAAUUCCGUCGGAAUCUACCAGGACCAUCUGGUAAGGCUAAAUACUACCUAGUGACCGAUAGUGAACCAGUACCGUGAGGGAAAGGUGAAAAGAACCCCGGGAGGGGAGUGAAAGAGAACCUGAAACCGUGUGCUUACAAGUAGUCAGAGCCCUUUAGGGGGUGAUGGCGUGCCUUUUGUAGAAUGAACCGGCGAGUUACUUUAUCAUGCGAGGUUAAGUGGAAGACAUGGAGCCGAAGCGAAAGCGAGUCUUAAUAGGGCGAAAUAGUAUGAUGGAGUAGACCCGAAACCAAGUGAUCUACCCAUGGCCAGGUUGAAGUUUAGGUAACACUGAAUGGAGGACCGAACCAGGACACGUUGAAAAGUGUUUGGAUGAGCUGUGGGUAGCGGAGAAAUUCCAAUCGAACUUGGAAAUAGCUGGUUCUCUCCGAAAUAGCUUUAGGGCUAGCCUCGUUGUGAGUUUACUGGAGGUAGAGCACUGUUUGGACUAGGGGCCCAUCCCGGGUUACCGAAUUCAGACAAACUCCGAAUGCCAGAUAAAUAUCAACGGGAGUCAGACUGCGGGUGAUAAGGUUCGUAGUCGAAAGGGAAACAGCCCAGACCGCCAGCUAAGGUCCCAAAUUGUAUGUUAAGUGGAAAAGGAUGUGAUGAUGCACAGACAACCAGGAUGUUGGCUUAGAAGCAGCCACCAUUUAAAGAGUGCGUAAUAGCUCACUGGUCGAGUGACAUCGCGCCGAAAAUGUACCGGGGCUAAACAUACAACCGAAGCUGCGGAUAUAACUAAUGUUAUAUGGUAGGAGAGCGUUCUAACAUCAUAGAAGCCGAACUGGAAGGUGAGGUGGAGAGGUUAGAAGUGAGAAUGCCGGUGUGAGUAGCGAAAGAUAGGUGAGAAUCCUAUCCACCGAAAGACUAAGGUUUCCAGAGGAAGGCUCGUCCGCUCUGGGUAAGUCGGGACCUAAGGUGAAGCCGAUAGGUGAAGCCGAUGGACAACAGGUAGAAAUUCCUGUACCACCGAAUAUCGAUUGAGAGAAGUGGGGACAGAGGAGGCUAAUUGAUCGCCCUGAUGGAAUAGGGCGUCUAAGCACAAAGACUGACAAGUAGGCAAAUCCGCUUGUUGUAAAGGUUGAAGUGUGAUGGGGAGCGAAAUAUAGUAGCGAAGUCAAUGAAGCCAAACUCUCAAGAAAAGCCGCUAUCGAGAUAAGAGGUGCCCGUACCGCAAACCGACACAGGUAGUUGGGAAGAGAAUUCUAAGGUGAGCGAGAGAACCAUCGUUAAGGAACUCGGCAAAAUGACCCCGUAACUUCGGGAGAAGGGGUGCCUACGAGAGUAGGCCGCAGUGAAUAGGCCCAAGCGACUGUUUAUCAAAAACACAGGUCUCUGCAAAACCGAAAGGUGAAGUAUAGGGGCUGACGCCUGCCCGGUGCUGGAAGGUUAAGAGGAGUGCUUAGCGCAAGCGAAGGUAUGAAUUGAAGCCCCAGUAAACGGCGGCCGUAACUAUAACGGUCCUAAGGUAGCGAAAUUCCUUGUCGGGUAAGUUCCGACCCGCACGAAAGGCGUAACGAUUUGGGCACUGUCUCAACGAUGGACUCGGUGAAAUCAUAGUACCUGUGAAGAUGCAGGUUACCCGCGACAGGACGGAAAGACCCCAUGGAGCUUUACUGUAGCUUGAUAUUGAAUUUUGAUGCAGUAUGUACAGGAUAGGUAGGAGCCUAGGAAUCAUGCACGCCAGUGUAUGAGGAGGCGUUGUUGGGAUACUACCCUUGCUGUAUUGAAAUUCUAACCCUCGGCAUAGAAAACCGGGAGACAGUGUCAGGUGGGCAGUUUGACUGGGGCGGUCGCCUCCUAAAGAGUAACGGAGGCGUUCAAAGGU